rnacentral:misc_RNA from 1 species
GAUGAAGAACGCAGCGAAAUGCGAUAAGUAAUGUGAAUUGCAGAAUUCAGUGAAUCAUCGAAUCUUUGAACGCACCUUGCACCCUUUGGACUGCUCCAAAGGGUAUGCUCGUUUGAGUGUCAUUGUACUCUCACACUCUCUGAUCCUUUGGAUUUGGGGAGCAGUGGACUUGGGUGCUUGCUGCUUCCUUGUGGCUCACCUGGAAUGCAUCAGUGCAUCUCUCGAUUGGACAUAGUACGGCGUGAUAAGUGUCUUCGCCGGCACCUCAUAUGAGGGUGGCCGAUCGGGAGCUCUGUGCUUUCAAACCGUCUUCGGACAACGCUGACAACUUGACCUCAAAUCGAGUAGGACUACCCGCUGAACUUAAGCAUAUCAAUAAGCGGAGGA